AGUCGAACGAAUCUUCUUCGGGAGAUGAGUGGCGAACGGGUGAGUAAUACAUAGGUAACCUGCCCCUGUGCGGGGGAUAACAGGAGGAAACUCCUGCUAAUACCGCAUAGCCAUGAGCACCGCAUGGAGCUCAUGCCAAAUAUCCUUUCGGGGAUAGCGCAGGGAUGGACCUAUGGCGCAUUAGCUUGUUGGCGGGGCAACGGCCCACCAAGGCAACGAUGCGUAGCCGGCCUGAGAGGGCGGACGGCCACAUUGGGACUGAGACACGGCCCAGACUCCUACGGGAGGCAGCAGUAGGGAAUUUUCGGCAAUGGGGGAAACCCUGACCGAGCAACGCCGCGUGAGCGAAGAAGGCCUUCGGGUCGUAAAGCUCUGUUGUAAAGGAAGAACGGCGCAUACAGGAAAUGGUAUGCGAGUGACGGUACUUUACCAGAAAGCCACGGCUAACUACGUGCCAGCAGCCGCGGUAAUACGUAGGUGGCGAGCGUUAUCCGGAAUCAUUGGGCGUAAAGAGGGAGCAGGCGGCCGCAAGGGUCUGUGGUGAAAGACCGAAGCUAAACUUCGGUAAGCCAUGGAAACCGGGCGGCUGGAGUGCGGAAGAGGAUCGUGGAAUUCCAUGUGUAGCGGUGAAAUGCGUGGAUAUAUGGAGGAACACCAGUGGCGAAGGCGACGGUCUGGGCCGCAACUGACGCUCAUUCCCGAAAGCGUGGGGAGCAAAUAGGAUUAGAUACCCUAGUAGUCCACGCCGUAAACGAUGGUCACUAAGUGUCGGGGGUCAAACCCCGGUGCUGCAGUCAACGCA
rnacentral:rRNA from 1 species